AUAGCAACCUGUCGUAUGGUUCCGGGGCGCUUAGUGGAAACACCUGUCCACAAGCCACAAACUGAGUCCACAUUAAAGAUAAUGUCCAAAAGUUAGUGUGCGGCCUAGUGGAAAUACCCUGUAACGGUCCACUUGAGUCGUGAGGUGUCUGUGUUUAUCAUUUUUCUAAUAACAUCGUCCUGCUUUGUUUGUUACAGCCCGGUGGGGCAGCGGUGUGCUUAGUGUGUAACGGAGCCUAGGCAGAAAACAUCCAUCCAGCCAGCCAGGAACCGGCAGCUAAUAGUAAGCAUCACGCUUCGCAUUGUUUGGCAGAGGCCAAACAAUGAUGCACAUUAAAGCAUCACCAGCGCGUUACAUUUCUGGGUCGUUGUGUGCGUGAACUUCUGCUAUACAACAAUCCUCCCGCUUGCAACCUAGUAGCNNN
rnacentral:lncRNA from 1 species